AAUACAGAGGUCUCAAGCGUUGUUCGGAUUCAUUGGGCGUAAAGGGUGCGUAGGUGGCGCCGUAAGUCAGGUGUGAAAUCUCGGGGCUCAACCCCGAAACUGCACUUGAUACUGCGGUGCUCGAGUACUGGAGAGGAGAUUGGAAUUUACGGUGUAGCAGUGAAAUGCGUAGAUAUCGUAAGGAAGACCAGUGGCGAAGGCGAAUCUCUGGACAGUUACUGACACUGAGGCACGAAGGCCAGGGGAGCAAACGG
rnacentral:rRNA from 1 species